CCACGCAUUCAAAAAGAAACAGUUGGUGGAGAUUUGCAGAUAUCCGAAGGGCGAGAUGUUCAUGGGGAGAUCAUACCGAAAGGUGGGCGUGAUCGAGAGGAAUCAUCUGCGUCUCGGUCAGCCUGUGGCGGGGCGGGCGAUCUUUGGUCUCUUCCACCCUCUUGACCUUAUCACACGUGCUUUAUCCGAUGGAUACAUCUGCUUGUGUUCUCCAUUCUCCUGGCUCCACUGGCACACUAUUGUGGACCAUGGACUGUGACGCUCUGCGGCCAUUAUCUGAAUUCUGAAGCCGUUCAAACUUGACAGUAAACCGGGGUGGCGUGUGAGGCUUGGCAAUGGCCCUUGGUUCGGAUGCUUGCACAGGACGGUGACGACGCGCAUGGCGAUGCGGCGACGGCGAGCUUGAGCAGCUGGCGCUGGAGCUGGAGGCAGAGAGGCUGGUGUUGUGCUGGCUGACAUUGCAGGGCGGUCUCUGCCGGGGGCAAGCUGCCGGCGCUACCGCCGGAGGCGAAUAAGCCGCAGCGGAAUGUAAGAGUAGAAGUAGACAGAGAGAUCCGGAGAGGCAAAGAUAAGAAAAUCCACAACCCUGGAAUGUUGGGUGAUAGGUCGGAUGGGAGUGGUAUAUUUAUACUUGAAAUUAUAACCGUUUGAAAACAUAGCUGUCGAAAAAUUGCCGUUUGAAUUAUAAUAGUCAUAUAAAUGGAGUGAUGAUUCUGAGAGAAAUUGGGAAGGGGACGAAUUUGGGAAAAGAACUGCCCAUGCUCAGGAGCCAAAUGGGAUUUUCGCUUUUGUUAAAAAAGUUACAAAUGGACUGUGAGAAAGAAAGAGAGAGAGUACUUUAUUAUAGAAAUAAGAUUUAUGGCUCUCGGGUGCCACACACCCCUAUAUAA
rnacentral:lncRNA from 1 species